UAGGGAAUCUUCCGCAAUGGGCGAAAGCCUGACGGAGCAACGCCGCGUGAGUGAUGAAGGUCUUCGGAUCGUAAAACUCUGUUAUUAGGGAAGAACAAAUGUGUAAGUAACUAUGCACGUCUUGACGGUACCUAAUCAGAAAGCCACGGCUAACUACGUGCCAGCAGCCGCGGUAAUACGUCGGUGUCAAGCGUUAUCCGGAAUUAUUGGUCGUAAAGCGCGCGUAGGCGGUUUUUUAAGUCUGAUGUGAAAGCCCACGGCUGAACCGUGGAGGGUCAUUGGAAACUGGAAAACUUGAGUGCAGAAGAGGAAAGUGGAAUUCCAUGUGUAGCAGUGAAAUGCGCAGAGAUAUGGAGGAACACCAGUGGCGAAGGCGACUUUCUGGUCUGUAACUGACGCUGAUGUGCGAAAGCGUGGGGAUCAAACAGG
rnacentral:rRNA from 1 species